rnacentral:rRNA from 1 species
UACGUAGGGUGCGAGCGUUGUCCGGAAUUAUUGGGCGUAAAGAGCUCGUAGGCGGCCUGUCGCGUCGGUCGUGAAAACUUGGGGCUUAACCCUGAGCUUGCGGUCGAUACGGGCAUGACUGGAGUUCGGCAGGGGAGACUGGAAUUCCUGGUGUAGCGGUGAAAUGCGCAGAUAUCAGGAGGAACACCGGUGGCGAAGGCGGAUCUCUGGGCCAUUACUGACGCUGAGGAGCGAAAGCGUGGGGAGCGAACAGG